rnacentral:rRNA from 1 species
AUUGAACGCUGGCGGCAGGCCUAACACAUGCAAGUCGAGCGAGCGGCGGACGGGUGAGUAAUGUAUGGGGACUGCCCGAUAGAGGGGGAUAACUACUGGAAACGGUUGCUAAUACCGCAUACUGUCGGAUUACCCAUAGGGGAUUAGCUAGUAGGUAAGGUAAUGGCUUACCUAGGCGACGAUCCCUAGCUGGUCUGAGAGGAUGAUCAGCCAAACUGGGACUGAGACACGGCCCAGACCCCUACGGAGGCAGCAGUGGGGAUUAUUGCACAAUGGGCGCAAGCCGGAUGCAGCCAGGCCGGGUGUAUGAAGAGGGCCCUAGGGUUGUAAGUACUUUCAGUCGGGAGGCGUUACCGACAGAAGAAGCACCGGCUAACUCCGUGCCAGCAGCCGCGGUAAUAC